rnacentral:rRNA from 1 species
GUCGAGCGGUAGAGAGCUUGCUUCUCUUGAGAGCGGCGGACGGGUGAGUAAUGCCUAGGAAUCUGCCUGGUAGUGGGGGAUAACGUUCGGAAACGAACGCUAAUACCGCAUACGUCCUACGGGAGAAAGCAGGGGACCUUCGGGCCUUGCGCUAUCAGAUGAGCCUAGGUCGGAUUAGCUAGUUGGUGAGGUAAUGGCUCACCAAGGCGACGAUCCGUAACUGGUCUGAGAGGAUGAUCAGUCACACUGGAACUGAGACACGGUCCAGACUCCUACGGGAGGCAGCAGUGGGGAAUAUUGGACAAUGGGCGAAAGCCUGAUCCAGCCAUGCCGCGUGUGUGAAGAAGGUCUUCGGAUUGUAAAGCACUUUAAGUUGGGAGGAAGGGCAUUAACCUAAUACGUUAGUGUUUUGACGUUACCGACAGAAUAAGCACCGGCUAACUCUGUGCCAGCAGCCGCGGUAAUACAGAGGGUGCAAGCGUUAAUCGGAAUUACUGGGCGUAAAGCGCGCGUAGGUGGUUUGUUAAGUUGGAUGUGAAAUCCCCGGGCUCAACCUGGGAACUGCAUUCAAAACUGACUGACUAGAGUAUGGUAGAGGGUGGUGGAAUUUCCUGUGUAGCGGUGAAAUGCGUAGAUAUAGGAAGGAACACCAGUGGCGAAGGCGACCACCUGGACUAAUACUGACACUGAGGUGCGAAAGCGUGGGGAGCAAACAGGAUUAGAUACCCUGGUAGUCCACGCCGUAAACGAUGUCAACUAGCCGUUGGAAGCCUUGAGCUUUUAGUGGCGCAGCUAACGCAUUAAGUUGACCGCCUGGGGAGUACGGCCGCAAGGUUAAAACUCAAAUGAAUUGACG